rnacentral:tRNA from 2 species
GGAAGACAAACCGGACAGGUGUCCGGCACCGCUUGGAAAGCGGGUGGAACCCUGCAAAGGGGUUUGAGGAUCAAGACCUCUGUCUUCCGCCA